AUAGGUUUAAAGGGAACUUGCCAAAAUACAAUAUAUAGAUACUGAAUAUUUUCAAGUUCCCGACGACAUGUGCAACUCAUGUGGCAAACGGGAAUGCAUCCUUUGAGAUCAAACCGUUGCCGACUUUACUUUGCUACCGAAACGGACUCUAUGGAGGGGUUUUCGAUUGGAAUUGGGUUGGCAGUGGACCGGCACUGGACCCCGACUACAAUAACAAGGAAGUACAAGUGGUUUUGUUUAAUGUUUUAUGGCAUGUUUUGCUAGAACAAUUGAACAAAUACACGAGGACAGCGGAUA